rnacentral:misc_RNA from 1 species
UGCUGGCCUUGGAGUUUUCAAGAUGAGAUCAGUUGUGCUAUUGUGAGGACAAUUUCUAACUUUAAGAUUAUAGUAUUCCUGAACAGCCUGCCACUGAGCAGAUGCUAGAAGCACCCUUGGCCUGAUUGACCUGACAUAAUCAAAUGCACCAUCAGGUGUCAUCUGCUUGUGUCGCACCAGGUAACAUAUAACAAUGGUUGUACUGCGCCCCCUACCAGCCUUACAAUGAACAUACGUAGUCCGUCCUUGCAAUACAUUCUCAUGAAUAAAAUCCACAGCUAGACAAAUAUCACUUAAGGAUGGUGCAAAGUAGUAGUCUCUUGUAGGAAUGACCAGAUGG